AGUAAAAUGGCUGAGUCUAAGCAAUAAAUUGUAAAUUUAUCAACGAAUUUUUUUUCUUUUACUA
rnacentral:tRNA from 1 species